GGCGAACGCUGGCGGCGUGCUUAACACAUGCAAGUCGAACGGUGAAGGGGUCUGCUUUUGUGGGCCCUGGAUGAGUGGCGAACGGGUGAGUAACACGUGAGUAACCUGCCCCCUUCUUCUGGAUAACCGCAUGAAAGUGUGGCUAAUACGGGAUAUUCUGGGUCUGUCGCAUGAUGGGUCUGGGAAAGAUUGCGCCUUUGGGUGUUUUUGGUGGGGGAUGGGCUCGCGGCCUAUCAGCUUGUUGGUGGGGUGAUGGCCUACCAAGGCGGUGACGGGUAGCCGGCCUGAGAGGGUGGACGGUCACACUGGGACUGAGACACGGCCCAGACUCCUACGGGAGGCAGCAGUGGGGAAUAUUGCACAAUGGGCGCAAGCCUGAUGCAGCGACGCCGCGUGAGGGAGGGAGGCCUUCGGGGUGUAAACCUCUUUCGCCAGUGAAGCAGGCCUGCUCCUUGUGGGUGGGUUGACGGUAGCUGGAUAAGAAGCGCCGGCUAACUACGUG
rnacentral:rRNA from 1 species